GCAGAACUUAUUGAAUAAAUGCUGUCAAAGGACGAAAUUUCAACACCGACCGCAACACUGAUUCACAGCCAAAGUUACGUUUCAGCGGCGGCUAAGCGACGCUCAGCCAAUCACCACAUCUGUGCUGCGGCGCACGUGACUGGUUCUGCUGCGUCGCUGCUCAUGGCUGAGGACAACUGCGACGUCUACCGGCGCGGAGAACUGGAAAUACAGACGUUCACAACGAAUCAAAACGGACAGUUUUGCCUGAGUUUACAGAGGUAGAAACAUCAAAAUACCGAAACAGGGGACCAUCGCCAAGACUUGAGACGACAAAUUAAUGCACAUUUGAUGUUUGUACUAGGCAUCUUUCUCCAGCUCUCUUCAGAAACAUGAGGAAAACUGCACUGAGGAGAAUGCAGAGAGUGCACACGGUGGGGACGACAAUCUCUGUGACCAUCUCCAUGUGGCUGAUCAGUGGAUCUGGAGAAAAACAUGUCACUAGAUCAUAGCCGGCUGUGCUGCCCAGUGGGGAGAGAAGUCAGUAACAGUUACACUAACCUGCCGCAAGGAGCUGGUUGCUUGAGGUGCAUGUUUCCAGUGCCUUUCUUUUCCAGCUUUCAAUCUGUGGUAAACAUUAUCCAAUUUAAAUUCAUAAGAUGUAAACUGAGACAUAAUAUAAAGACAUAGUAUAAAUUUAUCACACAGAUUGCACAAAAAAUGCUAAGACUCUUGUACACUUUAACUCAAAAGAUGAAAUAAAAAAUUAAUUUAGCAUCAUAUUUUAAUGCUAAACUCAUUGAA